GAUCAUGGCUCAGGAUGAACGCUAGCUACAGGCUUAACACAUGCAAGUCGAGGGGCAGCAUUGGAGUAGCAAUACUCAGAUGGCGACCGGCGCACGGGUGAGUAACACGUAUCCAACCUGCCGCUUACUCGGGGAUAGCCAUUCGAAAGAAAGAUUAAUACCCGAUGGUAUAAAGAGUUCGCAUGUUCUCUUUAUUAAAGAAUUUCGGUAAGCGAUGGGGAUGCGUUCCAUUAGAUAGUUGGCGGGGUAACGGCCCACCAAGUCUACGAUGGAUAGGGGUUCUGAGAGGAAGGUCCCCCACAUUGGAACUGAGACACGGUCCAAACUCCUACGGGAGGCAGCAGUGAGGAAUAUUGGUCAAUGGACGAGAGUCUGAACCAGCCAAAAGUAGCGUGAAGGAUGACUGCCCUAUGGGUUGUAAACUUCUUUUAUAAGGGAAUAAAGUGAGGGACGUGUCCCUUUUUGUAUGUACCUUAUGAAUAAGGAUCGGCUAACUCCGUGCCAGCCGCCGC
rnacentral:rRNA from 1 species